GGGGGGGGGGGGGGGGGGGGGGGGGGGGGGGGGGGGGGGGGGGGGGGGGUGGGUGUGUGGGGUGCGCGGGUGGCGGGGGGGUGGGUGGCCCGUGGGUCGCCUGCGCUUGCCUUGGUGAUCACUUCCGGGCACUGGGGCUGAUACCGGCUGGGCGCUCCGGCUGCCUGUUUUGGGUUGGUGCUUUUCGGCGGUUGGUGCUGUACUCGCUGCUUCUCCUCAUUUUGGUGGGGUAGUGGCUUCCCACGGCUUUGACGGGUAGCCGGCCUGAGAGGGUGACCGGACACAGUGGGAAUGAGAUACGGCCCAGACUCCUACGGGAGGCAGCAGUGGGGAAUAUUGCACAAUGGGCGGAAGCCUGAUGCAGCAACGCCGCGGGCGGGAUGACGGCCUUAGGGUGGUAAACCGCUUUCGCCUGUGACGAAGCGUGAGGGACGGUAAUGGGUAAAGAAGCACCGGCUAACUACGUG
rnacentral:rRNA from 1 species